UUCACCACAGAUCUCUCCCUUUCCCUUCUUUGUCAUCUUCUCCUUUCCCUUCCAUUUUUGACAACUGCUCCACCCCCUUUCAACCAUGGCAGAUCCGUACCCUCCAUUUUUGUGCAAUACGCACAGCGCGUACUCCCCUCUCUUUCCUCCUCUCUGUCUUCUUCAACAAACUCGGCAAAACCACAUAACUCUUUUGCAAAAAAAAAAAGGCCAUGCAUGGCCAUUUGAGGAAAAGGAGUUAAUGGCCGGUCCUUUCCCCUCAGAAUUUCAACGAUUGAGGGUUGGAUUUUGUUUUCUUUCGCUGUUCUCUGUUUGCGAUCGGCAACAACUUUAAAUGUUUUCGUCCGUUUGUGAAGGAAAACCUUUGCUUUAUCAGCUCUUUGGUACAAGUUUUAAAGGGAUUUUUGUCCCUAUCUUCUUGGUCUCUGAUUAAGGUCAGAACGAGCCUCCUAAUGUUCUGAUUUUGGGGGAAAUGAAUUUGAUUUCAAAUCCCUCCCAUUUUCGAACCGGGAAAAACCCUAGUCAUAUUUUACUGUAAAAUGGUCUUAUGUCCUCAGCCGAAACGGGGGGUUUUUUUGGAGAGUCGCCUGAAUCCCUUCUAAAUUUUUACACUUCUCACUAUACCCGGAAAAAUAUUCUUUUGGAGAGGAUUACUGAUUUUUGAAAUUGUUUGAGAAAAACAGAGUUUCCUUUUUUUUCAACAAGAAUAUACUGUUUCGAUUGAUAUCAAAAUUUUCGAUUCGAAAAACUUUUUUUUCGAGUUCGGGUUCGUCGUGUUCGAGCAUCGAUCCGUGACUCCCACACCCAGUUCACUGUACCACAAAAGAGUCCUAAUUCGGGACUCAUCAUCUUCCGCAUUCGGUGUUGGGCCAAAGCCCAAUGAAAUUUUCUCCUCGAGUCAACCUCAACCCGCGACAUAUAAAAGAAAAUUCUUGGGCUAAGCCCACGUAGCAAAGAGCCGAUUGCAACAGCCUUCAAAUGGGCUAGGCCCAUCUACUUUCUCUACUCUAUUCCUUUUGUAUAUUUGACUUGUAUGGAUUGACUAACACUUUAUCUUAUUCUUGUUCUUUCUUAGCUUAGAUGAAUCCUAGCAGGGUUUGUAGGAAUUCUAGCUUGGAAAAUUAAGUAGGUUUGUUUAAGACCUAGAAUGAGUUUAAAUGUUGAUAUCUAUAACAUUUUGGGCUACACGAAUGAUUUCCCAAAAGGAUGCCAAGAGAAAAUAAUAACUAUACUUUCCAAACAA